CGGGUAUGGCAGAAAUCAAACUUUUCCAAAUAAGUUAGUUCCGUCUUGCCAAUCUACACCCAACAGGUGUCAAUACAUGUCACCAGACAAAAAUCUGGCGAGCCAGGUCUAGAGAAGCAAUAGAUGGUUGGCAGAGAAGCUGAAACGACUCGACCUCUACCAGGGCUCAGCUUUCUCAUCACUGAACUGGAGAUACAGGAGUUGGAGACUUGGAAUCCCCUUUGGUGCAGAAACUAUUCCUUCAUGAGAAGAAGUCCUUAAAUAGGCUCUUUAGACAGGAGGCCACAUGUUGAAGGCAGCAGGGUCACAAGAUGGAAGAACCAGGGUCCCAGUAUCAUCGCUCCCUGCUUCAAGCUGCCAGGGGCAGCCUAACCCACAUGGCAUUAUGACAUAAGAAACAAAGUAACUAUUGUUUUAUUAAAUCAAUGAGAUAUUGGGCUUCUUGUUAUAGCAACUAGUAUAAAUUGCCCUGACUGAUACAUUAUGGAUUUAGAGUGCACUGUACUACAACUGUUUGUUGUAUUUUCAAAAUUGUGGUAUAACUGACUUACAAUAAACUUCAUAUAUUUAAAGAGUACUAUUUAAUAAGUUCAACAUAUUCAUAUAUCCAUGAAACCAUCACCACAAUCAAAAUAAGACACAUUUCCAUCAACUGAAAAAGUCUCCUCAUUCUCCUUUGAAAUCUCUUCUUCC
rnacentral:lncRNA from 10 species